UACCUAAUAACUACAGAAUGUGCCUUCUGCACAUGGCAGCAAAUUUCACAACAGCAAAAAAGGAGGAAUGGCUGGAAAAGGGAGAGACGAAAGCCAAAUGUAAGGUUUACUUGGACUAUAAUGCAACUACUCCUCCUGCAGCAGAAGUGGUGGACGUUGUAUCUGAGGCCCUGCUGGAGGCUUGGGGGAAUCCCAGCAGCAGUUAUAGUUCAGGAUGCAAGGCCAAGCAAUUAAUAGACACAGCACGGGCACACAUAGCCAAAAUGGUGCAAGGAAUGCCAGAAGAUAUCAUCUUUACCUCUGGAGGGACAGAAGCCAACAACAUGGUAUUGCUUUCAGCUGUGGAAUACUUCAACACGAGCACGAAGAAAGAAAGCAACUCCCUAGAAAAGGCAUUACCACAUAUUAUUACCUCAAAUGUGGAGCAUGACUCUAUAGCUUUGCUUCUUAAACACCUGCAAAAAACACACAGAGCUGAGGUAACUUUUGUACCAGUCUCUACUACGACAGGACGUGUGGAGGUUGAUGAUGUGGUUGCAGCUCUUCGUCCAAACACGUGUCUUGUUUCAAUCAUGUUGGCAAAUAAUGAGACUGGGGUCAUCAUGCCUAUUGGUGAACUAUCACAACGCCUGGCUCCCAUAUCUAAAGAGAGAAGAGCCCAGGGUCUUCCCUCCAUUCUCUUACACACAGAUGCUGCACAAGCUAUAGGGAAGAUAAGUAUUGACGUUCAAGAGUUGGGAGUCCAUUAUUUGACCAUUGUAGGACACAAGUUUUACGGAACACGUAUUGGGGCUCUGUAUGUGCGUGGAAUUGGACACAAAACUCCUUUACUACCAAUGUUAUAUGGUGGAGGACAGGAGCGCAAUUAUCGACCAGGGACAGAGAAUACACCUAUGAUCGCCGGACUUGGGAAGGCUGCUGAGCUAGUGAGCCUACAUUGUACUGUUUAUGAGAAUCACAUGAGGAGUGUUCGGGACUAUAUGGAGGAAAGGUUGCAGGCUGUAUUUGGCAAAAAGAUCCAGUUUAACUCUCACUUUUCUGGCUCUGAACGUCUUCCAAACACCUGUAAUGUGUCAUUGCUUAGACCUGCAGUCCUUGGUCGUGAGUGGCUUUCACACUGUGAGUAUCUUUUGGCAAGUGUUGGAGCAGCAUGUCACUCAGACAGAGGGGACAGCCCCUCUCAUGUGCUGCUGAGUAGCGGUGUGUCCCCUGAUGCUGCUCGUGGUGCAGUUCGCUUGAGUGUGGGCCGAGACACGUCUAGAGAAGAUGUGGAUUUGAUUGUUAAAGAUCUUGAACAAGCUGCAAGGAGGCUGGAAAAUAAGGACAUUAAAAAGAAAGAAAUGAUAAACUGAUAAAUAUUUCUGUUUAACAAAAGAAAACUUGUGUGUGCACAUGACCAAACAGAAUAUAGCAGAGACUAUAAAAGCAAUGUAAGGACUACCUUAAGGGGUAUUCCCACCCCCUUAAUUCACAAAUCGAAGCAUAAAUCAUCUAUUAGGGCUUAAGAAUCUGUCCUGUUCACUAAGCUAUUUGCUCUGUGAAAUACUAAAAUAUCUGCGGUGCAGCUGCUGUGAAAACACAUUCCAGGCUUUCCUUCUUCUGUAAGCUUGCUACCAAUGUCACUUAAAGGAAAACAGUCAUCCUGUUCACCCAUACUAAACCCAAUACACCGGGUUAUAGUGUGGGUGAACAGGAGACCGUUGCGGGGUCAGAAGUUUUGUUCACACUGAGUUUUACUCCUUAGACCUGCUGCUCUCACAAGCGGCUCGCUUCACUCCCUGGCUGGCUGCUCUGUUUAACUUAUUCACUGUACAGUGGUCCCUCAACAUACGAUGGUAAUCCGUUCCAAACGGACCAUCGUUUGUUGAAAACAUCGUAUGUUGAGGGAUCAGUGCAACGUAAAGUAUAGGACAGUGGUCCGCAGGUUGUAGACCACUGUUAGAGAAAGUUGUACUCACCUGUCCCCACCGCUCCGGACCAUUACCGCUCGUCACCGCUGCCCGAGAUGUCGCCGUCCAUCGAUGUCGCCGCGUCCCCGAGGUGUCCCCGGCAACCGCGCUCUCCGUCACCGCCAUCACGUCGCUACGCAUGCUGCUCCUAUUGGAUGACGAGACGGCGUGCACAGCGACAUGAUGAAGACGAUGGAGAGCGCCGACGAUGCAGGGGAUCCCGAAGAGGACUCGCCGGAGCCCCGAGGACAGGUAAGUGAUCGUCAGCGGACCACACGGGGCACCGUAAACGGCUAUCCGGCGGCAGCUGAAGCAGUCAGCGCUGCCGGAUAGCCGUUUAUGCGAUGGCCCCAACAUAAAAAAACAUCUUAUGUUGAUGCUGCCUUCAACAUGUGAUGGCCUCUGAGAGGCCAUCGCAUGUUGAAAUUAUGGUAUGUCUGGGCCAUCGUAGGUCGAGGGGGUCACUGUAUUAGAAUUUAUGGGAAUGAGUCUGGUUUGAGUGACAGCUGGGGAGUGAGGCAUGCACUGCCGUGCACUUCACCUGGUUGUAACUCGUGAUCACAGCAGGACUGAGACCCUGACCUAUCUAGACUUUUUUAAUUAAAUGUGCAGAAAUUUUUAACCACUUAACGGCCAAGCCAUUUUUGGCCUUAAUGACCAAGCCAGAUUUUGGAAAUCUGAUAUGUGUAACUAAAUCAGGGUAUAACUCUAUUAAGGUUUCCAAAUUCCAUGUCAUUUUGAAAUAAUUUUUUUUGUGACAUACUGUAUUUUAUUUAAGUGUUAAAAGAUAUAUAUAUAUAUAUAUAUCAACCUGUUUACUUUAUUUUGGCAGCACUUUUUUAAAAAAUAAAAUAAUUUUUGAAUCAUUUCGAAAAACUUAAACACCUUUUUAACCAUUUUUGUCAUUUCAAAGUCAGAUUUUGUAUUGCGCUGAUAAAAUGUCCAAACAUACUCCAGAAUGUAUUACCCAAUUAUUCCUGUGAUCAGAAACAUCCCCAUCCUAAUUUGUUUAAAACUUUC